GGCGCCCGCACGAACUCGCACAGACCCUGCCGCCCGCACGAACUCGCACAGACACCGCCGCCCGCCGCCCGCACGAACUCGCACAGCGCCGCCGACGGUGAGUUUAGGCAGCCGCCGUGUUGCCACUUCCCACCACGUGCUGCGCCAUCCAUCUCUGUCCAUCCCCAUCCUCAAGCUGAGUGCCUGCCUCCUCUCCAAAGAGAUCCCUAUCUGCCUCACCUGAACUGACAGAUUAGGUAUAUCUCUUCUUGUUUUUUUUUGUUGAUUUUGUUGGAUGUAGCAAUUGAAUUGGUGCGGUUUGCUCAUUGUAGUUUAUCUGUAAUGUUUGAUUAGAUGGAUAGAAGUUGGGUGCAUAGCACACUAUUUUAUAUAAAAAAUACUCUAGAAGGUUCCAAAACGAAGAGGGAAUGUGGAUUUCACAAAAUCCCGCGC
rnacentral:lncRNA from 1 species